rnacentral:misc_RNA from 1 species
AACUUUUAACAAUGGAUCACUUGGCUCUCGCAUCGAUGAAGAACGCAGCGAAAUGCGAUAAGUAAUGUGAAUUGCAGAAUUCAGUGAAUCAUCGAAUCGUUGAACGCACCUUGCGCUCCUUGGUAUUCCGAGGAGCAUGCCUGUUUGAGUGUCAUGAAAUUCUCAACCUUUUCAGCAUUUAUGUUGAUCAGGCUUGGAUGUGGGAGUUUGCGGGCUUCUCAGAAGUCGGCUCUCCUUAAAUACAUUAGCGGGACCUUUGUUGCCCAGCUUUAGUGUGAUACUUAUCCACGCUACUGUUGAAAGCAGCUUUUAAUGGGGUGCAGCUUCUAAUUGUCUCAUUUGAGACAACUUCCGACAAUUUGACCUCACAUCAGGUAGGACUCCCCGCUGAGCUUAAGCAUAUCAAUAAGCGGAGGCU